CCUACGGGAGGCAGCAGUGGGGAAUAUUGCACAAUGGGGGAAACCCUGAUGCAGCGACGCCGCGUGAGUGAAGAAGUAUUUCGGUUUGUAAAGCUCUAUUAUCAGGGAAGAAAAUGACGGUACCUGACUAAGAAGCCCCGGCUAACUACGUGCCAGCAGCCGCGGUAAUACGUAGGGGGCAAGCGUUAUCCGGAUUUACUGGGUGUAAAGGGAGCGUAGACGGCAGGGCAAGUCGGACGUGAAAUCCCAUGGCUUAACCAUGGAACUGCUUUGGAAACUGUGCUGCGAGAGUGCAGGAGAGGUAAGCGGAAUUCCUAGUGUAGCGGUGAAAUGCGUAGAUAUUAGGAGGAACACCAGUGGCGAAGGCGGCUUGCUGGACUGUAACUGACGUUGAGGCUCGAAAGCGUGGGGAGCAAACAGGAUUAGAUACCCUGGUAGUC
rnacentral:rRNA from 1 species